rnacentral:lncRNA from 1 species
GCUCCGGUCUGUGGCCGCCUCCUCCCGGGCCCCAGCCCCCGAGGUGUCCGGACGAUCGUUUAUUCCCUCGAAGUACUUUACGAUAAGAGCGGAGGAUACAGCGGCGGACCCGGGCGUCCUCCCCCUGGCCUCAGCGUCUGAUGGCGAGGGAGCACAGAAUGAGAUGAACAGAUCGGUAGAAUUCUAGCUACAGAGGAACAAGUUAGAGGCCGGUGGGUUUUGUCUGACACAAGGUUGUGUAGAAUUCUGGAUCCUCGUGUUUCCGCCUUCGGAGUAGCCGGGGUCACUGGCUCGCCCUCCCGCAGCCUCCUGUGAUAACUUUGUUUAUUUUAAUGAGAUCUUGACUUAGGACAGUAAAGCCGUUCUUUCUUUCUUUCCUUUUUUUUUUUUUAAAGGAGCUGAGAACGCGGUGUAAGAUCUGUUACCCAUUACACAGAAGAGAGGGAAACCCUGAAGUAAAUAGAGAAGGGAGAGCUGCUUUGACCGGGAGGAGGCCUGCUGAAUACAAAGGCCUAAGAUGUAGUGAGUGUGGUAUGCUAUGAGACAGGAGGCAGGGUCUUCGCCUUUCUGAAUUUUGUUCUUAUUUAAUAUUUGAAGGAACCCGGUUAGAAGUUGUAAGCAGCUAGGUAUGUGGCACGUACCAAUAAUCCUGGUGUGAGACAAAAGGGCCUCACAUUAGUCUAGUCUGGGCUACAUAAUAAGACUGUGUUUGAAGAGUGAGCAGAGUGUGGUGGUGCACACCUUUAAUUCCAGCACCCAGGAGGCAGAGGCAGGCAGAUCUCUGAAUUCCAGGCCAGCCAGGUCUACAUUGCCAGCCCCAGGCUAGCCAAGGCUACAUAACAAGACUCUAUCUCAAAGAUUAAUAAAAAUAGGCAAAGGCUGAGCAGAAACGAGCCAAAACCUGACUUCGAUUUUGUUUGGGUAAGAGAUUAUAUAGCUAAAACUGAGAUGGGAUGUGGCCCUAUUUCCUAUUUCAUGGAUUGUGGAUUGAUUGACUAAAAGCAAACUGAGCCGGAGAAUUCACCUGCUUCCUGUCUGCUAAGGUGAUGUGCCCAGCUGCUGUCAAGUUCCCGCUGCUGAGACUCCUCAACACUGUACCCUGGAUCUGUGAGCCAGAGCAGGCCCUUCUUUCCUUAACUUGCCUUCCCAGUGGGGCCAGCCUGUGAUCCCAUCAUGUGGGAGGUGGAGACUACAUAGUGCAUUUGAAGCCAGGGGAGGCUAUGCGAGACCCUGUCUCACAAAAGCCAAAAUAAUUCUAUGAGGGCUGGUCUAUAGCCAAGAGGUACAGUUACUGCCUAAUGUGCUGAGGCCUGAGGUUCAGUCUGAAAGCCAAAAAGAAUAUAUUCAAAACCAUGCAAAGUCGGGAUUGCUGGAUGCUAAGUACAUGCGACUUAAUCCGUAACUCGGUUGACAUCUCCUUAUAUGCUAGAGAAUCUGGGCUGUUCUUUUUGUUGUUGUUGUGUUGUUGUUUGUCUUUUAACAAAACCUAGAUGUGAUUACAAACUUCUAUUUGAAAACCUAGUGGUUACUCAACCCAACCCCACAGUCAUGUGGCCUCACCUGGUUUUCAGACCCAAUGUUGACACUAUGUCUAAUAUUUUUUGUCAUUCAUUCUUUAAAAUGUUUUUUAAAUAGGGUCUCACUUUGUAUCCCCUUACUGUCGUGGAACUCACUGUAUAGACCAGGUUGACCUCCAACUCAGAGAAAUCUGCCUGCCUCCUGAAUGCUGGGAUUUAAGAUGGAUGUUACCACCCCUAGCCUCUUUUUCUUUUUUCUUUUGUUAGCUAGAUAGGCACAGCCUCACAGAUAGUGACAUUGUGUGUGAGGACGAAUGCAUUUGAGGGGACACAUGCCACACAUAUAGAUGUCAAAGGAUGUCUUUUGGGAAUUGGUUUCGGCCUUCCACAUUUUUGUGAGUUCUGGAGAUCAAACUUAAGCCCUUGGCUUUGUUUUUUUGUUUGUUUGUUUGUUUGGUUUGGUUUGGGUUUUCGAGACAGAGUUUCUCUGUGUAGCCCUGGCUGUCCUGGAACUCACUCUGUAGACCAGGCUGGCCUUGAACUCAGAAAUCCGCCUGCCUCUGCCUCUGCCUCUGCCUUUGCCUCCCAAGUGCUGGGAUUAAAGGCGUGCGCCACCAACUGCCCAGCAAGCCCUUGGUUUUUGAGGCAUGUUCUUUACUGCUGAGCUACCUUUCCUACUCUGUCUACAGUGAGCUUGUAAUUCUCUGAAUUCACAAGACAGCUGUUUGGUUAUUUAAGGUUUCAUGUAACUCAGGAUGGUCUCUCUAGCCACAGGCAACCUUGAGCUUGGCAUUCUCCUGCCUCCCCUCCUACGGGCUGAGGUCCUGGGCACGCUCCACCAUAUCCUACUUGGUUUGGCUUUUGAGAGGUUUUAUGUGUAGCCCAAGCGUGACUUGAACUCCUGAUCUCUUGCCUCAGUUGGGCUAAUGAGCAUGUGCCCCAUGUUCAGCUGUAGCCAUCUUUGCAUGUGGUGCCUGCCCCUCAGCCUCCAGUGACCUUCCUGCUUUCUGCUUCUCCCAGCUCUCCUUCUACAGAAAGCCUUCUCUGACGUGAACCGUACUAUACUGAGAUGUGGCUGUUUCCUUCUAGUCAGCUCUCUCUUCUCCUUCCUUUCCUUCUUCCUUGCCAUUGUCCCCUCUUUUGCAGUUCUGGGGACUGAAACCUAAGGCUUUGUGCAUGUUAGGCAAGUGCUGUACCACUGUGCCUCAAAAAUGGGGACCUCUGUAUCAUUGCAGGAACUUAGUACUCAGUACUGUGACUAAGUACUUGCUCAUCUUUAAUUCCUGGCAUUUAGCAUGGCACAAUAACAUGAGUUCAGCAGGUGCUCAUUGAGUGAGUUUCCUUGAAUAUAUAUAUGAAUAAGAUAAUGUUUCUCAUGGUGGUAUAGGAAGCUGUUUUCAGCCGGGCAGUGGUGGCACAUGCCAGCACUUGGGAGUCAGAGGCAGGUGGAUUUCUGAGUUCCAGGCCAGCCUGCUUGGUCCAUAGAGCGAGUUCCAGGACAGCCAGUGCUAUACAGAGAAACCCUGUCUUGAAAAACC